GUCUGCACUUACUGUGUCGGGAAUAAAAGAGCACAGAAAGUUCCCUGUCAUCGGCAUAGAGCAUCAUCUUCAGGGCCGGGCGCAGUGGUGCACACCUGUGAUCCAGUGACCCGGGAGGCUGAGGCACCAGGACCCGAGUUCCACAGCCAUGUUGGUUUCUCUUGGCAAAUGAGCAAAUCAACCUAUUCUCAAGGGGUUCCUGCUGCAGUUGAAAUCACCACGAUGGCUCAGAAAAUGUCCUUCCAAGAGGGGGCCAAGAAGACCCCUGAGUGGAGCCCAGGAGGACCUCCCCUGAGAGGAGGCCUGGAGGUCACGCUCUGAGCAGCACCUGGAGGCGCCCUUCCCACUCCCUGGGGCUGCCUCUGUCUCAGACCAGCUGAGCAGCGGGGCGCAGGCAGCUCACGGCCCUGAACGUGGUGGAGAGGAGGCAAGGCCAGCUGAACUCAUUCUGGACAUCAGGCUCCCAGGAGGCGCAGAACCCAAGGCUCCCAGCACCACACCCCAGCCAGAAGGGCCCUCGGGAAGUGCUCUCUAGGGGUGGAGGGGAAUGCGUGUGGCUGCUGCCCCAUAAAACCCUGCACAAACGUGUGCCCCACCUGUCUGCUGGUGGGGAGGGAGACCAGGUGCCCAGGGGCGUGGAGGGGCUGCCCACACAGUGUUUGGAGGUCAUAGUCCUGGUCCAGGUGCUGGCGUCCAGGAAGUCAGGCAGAGCUACGGGCCUUUUGGAAGCCGGCCUGGCCAUCUGUUAGGUUUAGGUGUCCCCAAAGGCUCAGGUGUGAGACAAUGCAAGCAGGUUUAGAGGUGCAGGGAUGGGUCAUGA
rnacentral:lncRNA from 1 species